GCCAAUAUUCAUGCACUUGAAAAACCUCGGACAGUGAAGAACAUGGGAGUGCAUGGGUACAUUCUUUAUUCUUGAUAUAAUGGUUUCAAGCCUUUUGAUGGAAGCUCAUGUAUCUUCCUAGGCUGAUGGACUCUGGUGCUUGAUGAAUGUUGCCCAGCCCUAGACCUCUCUUAAGUUUUGCAUAAAUACAUCAUCUGGGCUAAUCAAUUUAUAUGAAAACAAAUCAGUAGUGAUUUCGUCAAAUAUAUGGGUUAUUUUGAUGACAGUUAGCUCCUCUCCCUAGCUGAUCAAAUCAACUAUUUUAAUCUCAUUGAACAACUAGAUGAAUUGAGGUGCUAAUUAAAUUAAUAUGCGCCCACCAGUUUAUUAGGUACUAAUUGAAUUAAUAUGCUCUCACAGGUUUAUUAGAGGAUAACUAAAACGAACAUUCUUUGGCUGACAUUUGAUGUAAGAUUUAAAACAACCUACAGAACAAACUGGAGAGGGUACACAUCAGAUGGCUCCCUCCCAUGGAGAAUGAACUGAAGAUUAAUAUUGAUGGCGCUUUCCACCCUGAACCAAACACCGGUGGUUGGGGUGCAGUCAUCAGGAAUCAUAAAGGAGAGGUAAAAGUAUGUGGACUAGGGAGAUUGGAGAAUGUUAUUAACCCCUUACAUGCCGAGAUCAGGCUGUUAUACAGGGUGCCUAGCUAGGAAUUGAUAAAGGAGUGAGAGCCAUUGGCCUUGAAACAGAUUCAGUGCUGCUGAAGCAAGGGGUAAACAAUAAUGAAUGUGGCCUCUCUGCUGUCUACCUAGGCUUAGAGGAGCUCAAGGAAUAUCUGAAGCAAAAAACUUUGAAGUGUGUCGUUUUACUUCUGCUAGGAGGAACUGUAAAUAAGUAGGCCAUUGUUUUGCUAGCUAUGGUAGUACCUUAAGCAUGUAUGAUCAUCUUCAAACAGAUCAUGUAAUUCCACUUGUAUCGGACCUGGUGGCGACUCUUCUCUAAUUUCUGCAUACAUCUCCCCUA